CCUCCUAAGGGGAAAACAGGAUGGCAUACAGAAGAGUCAUUGCAAAUCUGAGCUUCCAGUUGCUGCCAAUAAGUACUUUUUUCUGCUGUAAUAGAGCUACUUUGGAACUGUUUCAAAGAACAGACCUUCAUCUCUGCUGUUUCCAGGUAGCCUAAUAGCAGCAAAGAGCCUUAUCCUGAAGACAUCCCAGAAACACACAACUACACUCUAGACCCCUUUGUAGACCUGGCAUCUGAGGCCUCACCCCUCCACUGGGGACCAUGUGAGAGAAAGCUGCUACCAGUUAACAUAACUGAGGUGGAUAACUUGGAAGAGGAGGUUUCCCCAUUUAAACAGGUUUAGGGAACUGAAUGUGUUUACCAUGAGACUGGUAACCACAGGAUACACCGCAGAACAUGGGAGUCAUGAUUUGGGC